rnacentral:rRNA from 1 species
AAGGUCAGGCUGAAGACCUUACCCGAUUAGCUGAGAGGUGGUGCAUGGCCGUCGUCAGUUCGUACUGUGAAGCAUCCUGUUAAGUCAGGCAACGAGCGAGACCCACGUCCACAGUUGCCAGCAUACCCUCCGGGGUGAUGGGUACACUGUGGAGACCGCCGCUGCUAAAGCGGAGGAAGGAGUGGGCAACGGUAGGUCAGUAUGCCCCGAAUCUCCCGGGCUACACGCGGGCUACAAUGGUUGGUACAAUGGGCAUCUACCCCGAAAGGGGAAGGAAAUCUCUUAAAGCCAAUCGUAGUUCGGAUUGAGGGCUGCAACCCGCCCUCAUGAAGCUGGAAUCCGUAGUAAUCGCGUUUCAACAGAACGCGGUGAAUACGUCCCUGCUCCUU